rnacentral:rRNA from 1 species
UACAGAGGUCUCAAGCGUUGUUCGGAUUCCUUGGGCGUAAAGGGUGCGUAGGCGGCGCGGUAAGUCGGGUGUGAAAUCUCGGAGCUUAACUCCGAAACUGCAUUCGAUACUGCCGUGCUUGAGGACUGGAGAGGAGACUGGAAUUUACGGUGUAGCGGUGAAAUGCGUAGAUAUCGAGAGGAACACCGGUGGCGAAGGCGGCCAACUGGACGAACACUGACGCUGAGACUCGAAAGCGUGGGGAGCAAACAGG